ACUGACCUGCCCCGUGGAUGAGCCAUGCUGAAGUUUGAGAACCACUGGCUUAAUUAUGAAACGACUGAGGCCAGAGUGCCCCUAUGCCAUCUGGACUGGACCCUCACGACCUGAGCAGGAAACAGAGCUUCACAGCACUGCCUUGCCACCCUUCCCAGAAGGACACGUGGAUGACGACUUUCAAGAGUGCCAACAUGUCUGGAAAAGAGCUCUGGGUCUGCAAGAAGCAGAAGACCUAGGUUUUUAUUAUUAGUAGCAGAGCAGCCCUGCCUUAUAUCUAACAAGAUCCAGAAAGCCUGCAUCCCACAGUGAGGAGGACACAGUAAGCUUUUCAGAUCCAGUAGAGAAGUAGAAAUCAGGGCAAAGGAACGCAGCAAGAAGACGAAUUGUAUGGCUUCAACCUUAAGUAGAGCAGGCAGGGUCUCACUGUUCAGUGUGAGCACUUUCCACCCCAGGUCUCGGGCAGCUGGAUGGAUGUCAAGCAUCUAAAAGCAGCCCAGUUAGAACUGACUCAAAGAGGAAGUUUAUUCUGAGCCUGUGUGAGGGUGAACACAGAAGUAAGAGAGAGAAACGGAGAGAGAGAGACGGAGACAGAGAGACAGAGACUCAGAGAUCAAUUCAAAAUCCAAAGCAGCCUCGGGCCACUUCAUUUCAGAACAAAGCUUCAACAUAAAAAUAAUAAUAAUAUUAUUAAGGAUAUUAUAGUAUCACAGAACAGCAGUGAAACUGUUCAACUAUGAUAUGACUUCCCAAUAAGGUGAUGAAACAUAAAACUUUUAAAAUAAGAGACGAAUAUUUUAGCUCAACUGUAGGCUCUAAACCUAUUUAUGUUCAGUUAAGGUUUUAACGUUUUAUAAAGAAAGGGUGGUCUUGGGAUAUGUAUCAGUCACAGUUCUCCAGAGAAGCAGAACAAAUAGAAUAUACGUUAUGUUAUAAAAUAGAGACAAGGGAAUUUAUUCAAUCAGCUCCCAUGAUCAGAAGCUCUCUCUCGGUGGGAGCGCUGCAGAAGCUGCUAGCUGCUCAGUCUAAGAAGCUGCAAGUCUCUGUGUGAGAGGGAAGUGACGCACCCUGCAGUCGGAAGCUGAAAACCGGAAAUUCCCCGGAGCUUCGCUGUGCGUGUGUGUUCAAAGGCUGUGGAGAACAAGGCCCAUGGGUGAUGGUAGCGACAAACCCUCCUAGUCGAGGAGGGUCAGGUGUGCCGAGGGAGCUUCCCCUCCUGCGUGCUUGCUGAGUCUGCCCCUGCCCACCAGAUGCUGUGACCGUGUCCAGGGAAGGUCUCCCCGCCUCAGUCCACUGAUCCGUCGGCCGAUCAUCUCAGGAAGCACCCUCACACAUACUCCCAGACCAGUGACUACUGAUUUCCUAAGCAUCCCUCAACCCACUCAAGUUGGCAGCAAAAAUGACCAGUCACAGUCUAUGGUUCAUGUUCUACCACAAGCUUAAUAUACUUACAGUAAAUUGUAAAUAUCA
rnacentral:lncRNA from 1 species